rnacentral:lncRNA from 1 species
UUUAAACAAAGUUGAUAGGAAAUAUGUAACUAAAUACUAAUAACUUACACAUAAAAUAUAAAUGUUCACUUAUUAAGGCCAUAAAAUAAAUUUAUUAAUGUGAUUGAAAUUUUACCUUAAACCAAGGCCAAAAUCGAGUAUUAUGUCAAAUUUUGGAAUGUACACCAGUCAUAUUUUUUGGUUGUAUAAAUGUUGGUGCCAUCUUGCUAAUUGCCUCGGCAACUAUUUUAACAUGCCG